AUUGAACGCUGGCGGAAUGCUUAACACAUGCAAGUCGAGCGGCAGCGCGGCCUUCGGGCUGGCGGCGAGCGGCGAACGGGUGAGUAAUGCAUCGGAACAUGCCCAGUCGUGGGGGAUAACACUUCGAAAGAAGUGCUAAUACCGCAUACGUCCUGAGGGGGAAAGCGGGGGAUCGCAAGACCUCGCGCGAUUGGAGUGGCCGAUGUCAGAUUAGCUAGUUGGUGGGGUAAAGGCCUACCAAGGCGACGAUCUGUAGCUGGUCUGAGAGGAUGAUCAGCCACACUGGGACUGAGACACGGCCCAGACUCCUACGGGAGGCAGCAGUGGGGAAUUUUGGACAAUGGGGGCAACCCUGAUCCAGCCAUUCCGCGUGAGUGAAGAAGGCCUUCGGGUUGUAAAGCUCUUUCGGCAGGAACGAAACGGUGGGCUCUAACAUAGUCCGCUAAUGACGGUACCUGAAGAAGAAGCACCGGCUAACUACGUG
rnacentral:rRNA from 1 species